UACGUAGGGAGCAAGCGUUGUCCGGAAUCAUUGGGCGUAAAGCGCGCGUAGGCGGCCCCGUAAGUCCGCUGUGAAAGUCAAAGGCUCAACCUUUGAAAGCCGGUGGAAACUGUGGGGCUAGAGUCCGGAAGAGGCGAGUGGAAUUCCGUGGCGUAGCGGUGGAAUGCGCAGAUAUCAGGAGGAACACCAAUAGCGAAGGCAGCUCGCUGGGACGGUACUGACGCUAAGGCGCGAAAGCGUGGGGAGCGA
rnacentral:rRNA from 1 species